GUUUUUUCUGUUCAUAACAUGAUAUUAAAAAGUCGAGCAAAAGAGAGCUCAAAAACAGCUGAUUGUAAGGAAUUGAAGAAAAUAUUUAAAAACUGAUGAAUUUUCACAGCCAUUUAUGUCGCGAUUUAUGGUGUUUCAACUGUUUUAACAUCACCUAGGAAAUUAACAUUAAGAUAUUAGGAUCCUGCAGAUAACUAGAUAAGAAGUAUGAUCUUGUUAGCAUACCUAUUCCGUCAUAAUAUGAAGUGAAGAUAUUCAUGGUGUGGAAGUUGUUACUUUAAUUACAUAGUGCAUAUGAAAUUGGUCCUUUACAUCACAUUUAAAAUCGACGUAAUGCUACUAUGCAAAAUAGUGAGAGAUUUGAACCCUAGGGAGAGCUACAGAAAUACUUUUGUUGAGAGACAAGUUAUGAUAGUGAUUAGAAUCGCAUAUUCUAGACUUUUACUU